rnacentral:rRNA from 1 species
UACGAAGGGGGCUAGCGUUGCUCGGAAUGACUGGGCGUAAAGGGCGCGUAGGCGGUGAUCACAGUCCAGGCGUGGAAAUUCCUGGGCUUAACCUGGGGGCUGCGUUUGAUACGUGGUUGCUAGAGUGGGGAAGAGGGUCGUGGAAAUUCCCAGUGUAGAGGUGAAAUUCGUAGAUAUUGGGAAGAACACCGGUGGCGAAGGCGGCGACCUGGUCCUUGACUGACGCUGAGGCGCGAAAGCGUGGGGAGCAAACAGG